AGAGUUUGAUCCUGGCUCAGGAUGAACGCCGGCGGUGUGCCUAAUACAUGCAAGUCGUACGCACUGGCCCAACUGAUUGAUGGUGCUUGCACCUGAUUGACGAUGGAUCACCAGUGAGUGGCGGACGGGUGAGUAACACGUAGGUAACCUGCCCCGGAGCGGGGGAUAACAUUUGGAAACAGAUGCUAAUACCGCAUAACAACAAAAGCCACAUGGCUUUUGUUUGAAAGAUGGCCUUGGCUAUCACUCUGGGAUGGACCUGCGGUGCAUUAGCUAGUUGGUAAGGUAACGGCUUACCAAGGCGAUGAUGCAUAGCCGAGUUGAGAGACUGAUCGGCCACAAUGGAACUGAGACACGGUCCAUACUCCUACGGGAGGCAGCAGUUAGGGAAUCUUCCACAAUGGGCGCAAGCCUGAUGGAGCAACACUGCGUGAGUGAAGAAGGGUUUCGGCUCAUAAAGCUCUGUUGUUGGAGAAGAACGUGCGUGAGAGUAACUGUUCACGCAGUGACGGUAUCCAACCAGAAAGUCACGGCUAACUACGUGCCAGCAGCCGCGGUAAUACGUAGGCGGCAAGCGUUAUCCGGAUUUAUUGGGCGUAAAGCGAGCGCAGGCGGUUGCUUAGGUCUGAUGUGAAAGCCUUCGGCUUAACCGAAGAAGUGCAUCGGAAACCGGGCGACUUGAGUGCAGAAGAGGACAGUGGAACUCCAUGUGUAGCGGUGGAAUGCGUAGAUAUAUGGAAGAACACCAGUGGCGAAGGCGGCUGUCUGGUCUGCAACUGACGCUGAGGCUCGAAAGCAUGGGUAGCGAACAGGAUUAGAUACCCUGGUAGUCCAUACCGUAAACGAUGAGUGCUAGGUGUUGGAGGGUUUCCGCCCUUCAGUGCCGGAGCUAACGCAUUAAGCACUCCCCCUGGGGAGUACGACCGCAAGGUGGAAACUCAAAGGAAUUGACGGGGGCCCGCACAAGCGGUGGAGCAUGUGGGUUUAAUUCGAAGCUACGCGAAGAACCUUACCAGGUCUUGACAUCUUGCGCUAACCUUAGAGAUAAGGCGUUCCCUUCGGGGACGCAAUGACAGGUGGUGCAUGGUAGUCGUCAGCUCGUGUCGUGAGAUGUUGGGUUGAGUCCCGCAACGAGCGCAACCCUUGUUACUAGUUGCCAGCAUUAAGUUGGGCACUCUAGUGAGACUGCCGGUGACAAACCGGAGGAAGGUGGGGACGACGUCAGAUCAUCAUGCCCCUUAUGACCUGGGCUACACACGUGCUACAAUGGACGGUACAACGAGUCGCAAGCUCGCGAGAGUAAGCUAAUCUCUUAAAGCCGUUCUCAGUUCGGACUGUAGGCUGCAACUCGCCUACACGAAGUCGGAAUCGCUAGUAAUCGCGGAUCAGCAUGCCGCGGUGAAUACGUUCCCGGGCCUUGUACUCACCGCCCGUCA
rnacentral:rRNA from 1 species